rnacentral:rRNA from 1 species
GACAGAGGUGCCAAGCGUUAGGCGGAAUCACUGGGCUUAAAGCGUGUGUAGGCGGAACGUUAAGUGCCUUGUGAAAUCCCACGGCUCAACCGUGGAACUGCUGGGCAUACUGGCGUUCUUGAGCCAGCCAGGGGUCGUCGGAACAAACGGUGGAGCGGUGAAAUGCGUAGAUAUCGGGAGGAACACCAAUGGCGAAGGCAGCUCGCUGGGACUUUACUGACGCUGAGACGCGAAAGCGUGGUGAGCAAACAGG